UACGUAGGGUGCAAGCGUUGUCCGGAAUUAUUGGGCGUAAAGAGCUCGUUGGCGGUUUGUCGCGUCUGCUGUGAAAGUUCGGGGCUCAACCCGGGAACUGCAGUGGGUACGGGCAGACUAGAGUGCGGUAGAGGGGACUGGAAUUCCUGGUGUAGCGGUGGAAUGCGCAGAUACCAGGAGGAACACCAGGGGCGAAGGCGGGUCUCUGGGCCGCAACUGACGCUGAGGAGCGAAAGCGUGGGGAGCGAACAGG
rnacentral:rRNA from 1 species